AUAAGUAAAACCGAUGCCCUUCCGCCCCUAACCUCAAAAGCUGCUUUUGCGUCUCGAUGUUAUUGAGAGCCGGCUCUGCGGUCAGCUCUGAGCUAGGCGCUGUGAGAACGCUCAGUAAGACAGUGUCUCGUCUGGAAAUGUACAGGCGAGAUUCAAACCGAGAAACUGCCAAAGGUUGUGUGCAGGGCAGAUCCUAGGAUACCGGAGACCCAGCCCGUUGGCUUGACCUCAAAACUCGGGGGCUUUUCGGCCCAUGCUGUCCCUUAAUUCCUCCUCCUUUGCUGACGCUGUGGGUGCGCAUCAAAGCCUAAACUUCACUAGCUCCCUUGCACACAAGAACACUAACCCUAACCUGACCAGUUAUUUAUUUUUCACUUCAAGAUUCUUCCAUUGAUACUUACGUUUCCCUGAUACCGUCCAAGUGCUGAGGGCGGGGAUGGACUGUGUGAUUUGCAUCUGCCAAAUGCAGAAAAUUUGGAAGUUCACAGCCUCUUAGUUGGAUGCCCCUGUGUCACAGAACACAUUUUGGCUAUGGGGUGUGAUCUGUGUCUGAGGAACAACAAGAAGCUACACGUCAUCCACACAGGAGCCAAAUCUGGAACUCUGGUCUCAGUUCUUCAGGACUAUUUGAGCGAAUAAUCACUCAACACUGGAGUAAAGGAUGUUCUACUAGAAGUCUUAUUCUGACUCCUAAAACCACGCUACCGAAAGUGUUGAUCCACAAACCAGUGCCAGUGCUUGAACUUUGUUACUGGUCCACAGUUAGGUCCCCUCAGUGAUUCCUGUGUGCACCCAGGGUUGAGAACUACUGCAUAAGAGGUCCUAGAAGAUAUCUGGUAUGGCCAGAGUACAGAGGGACCGGAGAAGAACUUCUGCUUGGGUGGCUGAACUCUGAUCUUGACCUA
rnacentral:lncRNA from 1 species